UGCGUAGGUGGUGAGGUAAGUCGGAUGUGAAAUCUCCGAGCUCAACUCGGAAAUGGCAUUGGAAACUACCUUGCUAGAGGAUUGGAGGGGAGACUGGAAUUCUCGGUGUAGCAGUGAAAUGCGUAGAUAUCGAGAGGAACACCAGUGGCGAAGGCGAGUCUCUGGACAAUUCCUGACACUGAGGCACGAAAAGCCAGGGGAGCAAACG
rnacentral:rRNA from 1 species